rnacentral:lncRNA from 1 species
CGGCCGGGCCAGGCCCAAAUCCCCUAUAGCCACCGCCGCCGGACCCUGCAGAGGGCCGCCCAGCCGCCGUCGCCAAACCUCCAUCAGCGAUCUGCCAUCCCAGAUCAAAACCAGAACCUGCAGAGAAACAAGCUUCGUCGCACCAUGGAGAAGACCCAGAUCGGGACCAGAGGAUCCUGACCAGAUCGGACCGCUCCGAGUAGCCCCCGGCCACGCUGCGCCGAACGUCUCGCCGCCUGAUCGCCUCCAAAUCUGAGAUCGAAUCCGUCGAGUUGACCAUCGAGGAGAGACCCAGAAGCCAACAACUAUAGUUUUCCCCUCCCUCACUAACAUCCACCGUGAUCCCACCGAUCGGACCGAGAACGCUGAUCGAUAGACCCGGCCUCACACCCAACUCGCGCGGAGUCGGUAUUGGCCCGUCCGACGACGGCGUUGCGGCACGCCGCAGGACAGGGGGGAAGACCUCGUUUCUUUCUCUCUAGCGCGUACAGCGCG